rnacentral:rRNA from 1 species
UACGUAGGUGGCUAGCGUUGUCCGGAUUUACUGGGCGUAAAGAGCGCGCAGGCGGUCGUUCAAGUCGAGUGUGAAAGCCCCCGGCUCAACUGGGGAGGGUCACUCGAUACUGAUCGACUCGAAGGCAGGAGAGGGAAGCGGAAUUCCCGGUGUAGUGGUGAAAUGCGUAGAUAUCGGGAGGAACACCAGUGGCGAAGGCGGCUUUCUGGCCUGUUCUUGACGCUGAGGCG